UACGAAGGGGGCUAGCGUUGCUCGGAAUCACUGGGCGUAAAGCGCACGUAGGCGGCUUUUUAAGUCAGGGGUGAAAUCCUGGAGCUCAACUCCAGAACUGCCUUUGAUACUGAGAAGCUUGAGUCCGGGAGAGGUGAGUGGAACUGCGAGUGUAGAGGUGAAAUUCGUAGAUAUUCGCAAGAACACCAGUGGCGAAGGCGGCUCACUGGCCCGGUACUGACGCUGAGGCGCGAAAGCGUGGGGAGCGAACAGG
rnacentral:rRNA from 1 species